GAGGAAUGCGCCGCCUUCACCGCGGCACGAGCGACCCGUCCCGACCAGAGCGCCGUCGUGGCGCUGCCGACGGGCGUAGGGCCCUGGGGGUGACGGUCUGGAGGGGGUUUUGCCGUCGCUUCCUCACGUUUGGGGUUCGGUGGCGUAAACGACCUUCUGGCGACGUGACCGGCACCGUGCACGUGCCUCAUGCCGCCCGCAGUGCGCGUCGGGCCGGGUGGAUGAACGUCGCUGCCGCCGUGAGGAUUAAUUACUCACGCUGCCUGAAGUGCUGUGGAAGAAGCUCAGCCAUUGCAAUACUUGGGGUUUCAAUAUGACCAAGCGUAUCUGUUGGGAAAUGCUUCCAAUCGCUAGGUGAUGCCAUUCGAGAAAUCAAAAGCUACCGGGAGUAAGUGAUGGUUGUGCAAAUGUGCGGAUGCUUGGUUACUUCUUCAGCGGCGUCCACUAAUUUGGGGAUGUUUUCAUCUCCGGAUGCCCAGUUGGAGUUGGCUCAUCAGGGCUUAUGUUUGUACGUAAGCCUCUGGUGGAUGUCACACAUGGAAGCCGUGGCUUCUUCAGCCGUACCGGCACAGCCGGGCACGCAGGCAGCGGGAUCCCUGUGGUCUUGGCCUUGGGGAACUACCAGACUGUUUUCUUCAUGCCAAAACAUUGGGUGUCAGCCCUACCGCAUGGAAAAGCACCUUCAAAUACAGCCAGGAGACUGAGUUCAUGAGCAGCACAGUAACACACAGCCGUCACACGUGAGAAAUGGUUGGCUUUCCAGUGGUGAGCCGACAGCACGCAUGAGUUUACCGGCGAGGAACCAGAGGUAGACCCAAUGGCUUUGUCAGCUCCCUUGUGCUGCUCACCUCUGCCCUCAGCAGCACUGUGCUGUUCUGUGACUGGCCUGAGAGAGAAGAGAAAGCGCCCUACGCUUUUCCAUCUCGAGUUGGUGGUGCAGUGGUACACGGUGCCCAAAGAGCUCUUUUCGUAACUCGUCGUCUUUCCGCCGGCUGUACAAGGAGCCGCUUCACUGGAUAAGAUUAAGUUUAUAGGACAUAAAAUCAGGCCAGCCUGUCCUUUGUGCCACGAGUUCUUAUUGUUUACUGGAUUCUGCACCGGGAACCAAGGUACGUACGUAAAGAACUGAAAUCUAGCAUCAGGAAGGACCAUCGCGUGUGUCAAAGAUGUCAUCAUUUCCAAGACAACCCCACGAAUUUCAAGCGAGGAGUUCAUGAACACCAUGCGUUACGCAUCAUCAUGUCUUCAUCACAUCUUCCAGAGGACGUGGAAGAAGACUAAGGGGCUUUUAGCCAUAAGUAUCAGCAUCUCAAAAGGCCUUUCUUUGUGUGUUUUAAAUUCUCAGUGACUGCUCUAUCUCAAAGAGGCUUCCUGUUACUUUGCAUGGUCUGCAGGACUGGGCGGGGGCUGUUGGCUAUUUUAGAGGCACCACAGAAAAUGUUCUUUGUUUAUAAGUUAAUAGACCCGCCUUAUUAAUCCUGCUUUUACAGUGCUUUCUGCAAAUGAAACCUGGAACGUGAGAAUCACAUCUUCACACUUUAACUGCCAGCCCCAGCAGUUAAAGUUUUAUGCAAAGCGAACUGUGAGCGUGUGGGCAGGGCAGUGCCCCCCAUGGAUUUGCUGGGUAUAACUGGGUGGUCCAAACCAGUGUGCUGCUUUGGGUGCGUGAGGAGCAGAGUCAGCAUCUGACCGAGUCCCAGAAGUCUGAAUGAACACACAAGACUGAUGGCUGCCCUACAAUCCUCUAACAGUGCCUUUGAAUGAUCCCAGUUCAGUUGGCACAGCUGUUGGCACAACAAGGCCAUUCCUGAGAAGGCACCGACAGGCAGAUGGACGCUCUGCUUUGUGCUGCGUGGUUUUGCAGUGUCUCUGGGCAGCUGAUGGAGCAAGGGUUUCACUGCCUCUGCUGUGUUCUCACUAAGGCGUUGCGGCAGCCUGAACUCAUCUUCCCUCUUGGAUCAUGUGUGGUAUCCUCCAUUAGUAACACUUUGCUCUGACAGGCGUCCUGCUGUGCACUGCAGCAGUCAGGGGCUAAAUAAUUUAUUUGGGAAGCAAGUUUUGUGCAUGGCUUGGAGAAGGGAGGAGGACAGGAAUAUUGCAACAGUGAACCAUGGGGUGGAUUUCAGCGGUAGCCUUGGAGAAACACAUUGUGCCCUAUGGUCUCUGAGCAUUGCGCUUUGCCAUCCAUUGUUUCAAAAUUGCUUUCUCUCCCAUAAUUAUCUUUACAAGAGGAGGCGGAUCCAAAGCAUUUGUUUGUGCUUUUUUGUUUUUUUUCUUUCAAGGUAGUCCAUUGAUUUCCAUUUCUAAUAAUAAGUGUGAAUAAGCAAAAGGAAAAAAAAAAAAAACACAGUAAUACGUUAGCUGGUAUUUAAAAUAGAGAGAACAGGUCUGUUUGCCACAGCACGCUCCGUAUGUGGACAUCAAAGUGUCUUACAGAGGUCAUAAUUCUCAUUUCAAAGAUGAGGAAGCAGAGGUGCAGGGGGAAGUGGCUGGCUUAGCCGGUCAGCGCCGGAGCUGGGCGAGAUCUCCAAACCUUCCCUCCCUUAAUCAGGAUGGUUCAGGUCCCAGGUGCAAUGAAGGCACCGUGACGCUGCAGGGAGAGCAGCAAACCAUGCAGCCAGCAAAGCCUGAUUUCCUUCUGUUCUGUCCAAGGCUUCUGUGAUGUUGGCCUUCGAUGGUGCAGUCAUGAGGUGCCAGUGGCCUUUCCCUCACCAAGGGCACUGAUGGAGUGUGGCUCUCCAGCUUUGUUGUCCAUUUCCCCCCAAAGUUUAAGGCACUUGAGAAUUUCUGAGCCUUUCUGUCAGGCAUGGUUGCUAUGAACCAGUGAGUCACAAAAAACGUGUGCUUGCAUGCAUACACCCAUGCAUGCACACACAGACCUAUAUCUUGGCAUUGCAACAUGAGGGA
ensembl:lncRNA